ensembl:miRNA
AAUCUAGUAGGCAGGUGCUCACUCGUCCUUCUCCACGGUUAAAAAUACAGGGAGGAGGCCAGAAUGGCAACUAUCACUAUGAUUGUUUUCUUUGG